UACGUAGGGGGCAAGCGUUUAUCCGGAAUUACUGGGGCGUAAAGCGCACGCAGGCGGUUCGCCAAGUUUGGAGUGACAGUUGUCGGCUCAACCGACAAAGGACUUCAAAAACUGGUGAACUUGAGGACGAGAGAGGAACAUGGAACUCCAGGUGUAGUAGUGAAAUGCGUAGAUAUCUGGAAGAACACCAAUGGCGAAGGCAAUGUUCUGGCUCGUUUCUGACGCUCAGGUGCGAAAGCCAGGGGAGCGAACGGG
rnacentral:rRNA from 1 species